rnacentral:hammerhead_ribozyme from 1 species
AUCUAACUGAUGAGUCCCAAACAGGAUGAAACUCGAGUCCUGGAU